rnacentral:rRNA from 1 species
UAAAAUUAAAAAUUUAAAUAUUAAAUUAUUAAUAGUUAUAUUCUUGAAAAUUAAAAAAUUUGACGGUAUUUUAUCUAUUCAGAGGAACUUGUUUUUUAAUUGAUAAUCCUCAUUAUAUCUUUCUUAAAUUUUAUAAUUUAUAUACCAUCAUAGUAAAAAAAUCUUUUAAAAGGAUUAAUUUUUAAGAUAAGAUUUUAUUUAAUAAUUUAGAUCAAGGUGUAGUUUAUAUUUAAGUUAAAAUGAGUUACAAUAAAAUUAUUUAGACGAAAUAUUUAAUUAAAUAAAUUUAUGAAGGUGGAUUUGUUAAUAAAUAUAUUUAGAGAGAUAUAUUGAAUAUAGAUCUAGAAUGUGU